GAGGAUUAUCGGGAAACGCAUUCGUAAUGCGUGGGUCGGGGGUUCAAUUCCCUUCUCCAGCACCA
rnacentral:tRNA from 1 species